ensembl:lncRNA
CUUGUGGCCAGACCAGUCUGUUGAAUAUGUGUUUCUGAAGCUACACCUAUAUGAAAUAGGACACGCACAUACACACAGAUAUACCUACAUAUCAAUGGACAGCUGUUGUCAUAACAGUAGACCAAUGUCCUCUGCACUGCAGAUACAUUUUUUUCCUGGGACAUAUAGACAAAAAACUAUAUUUUAGGCUCUGUAGGUACUUCAUCACUGUCUCCCUUCUUUACCUUCUCUGCCUUACUUUCUUCUCCCCUUAUAUCCUUCCUAUUGUGUUCUCACCUCAUUUUUCUUCCUAUCAGCCACUUGUCUGUUUUUUUUCUAUAUUACAUUUGUAUUUUUUUCUUUCCCACUCCAUUUCCUUUUCUUAAAUCCUUUUCUUAAACCCCUCAACGUCCCAGAGCAUCCUAUUGUGUCUCUCUCCAUCUUUACCACUUACUUCAUCAUUCUAUACAUUACCUCUUCCUCCUCCUUCUCUGCAUUAAACGUUCCCUUUCUCUCUCUUUUUUUCUUUGUCCUUUUUUUCUCUCUCCCUGCAGUGUCUCUCCUUCCCCUCCCUCACUCGGUCUCCUUUCUCUCUUUCGCUCUCUUCCUCCCUUGUGUCUAUUGGUGUUAGCCAGUGCCAGACUGUUGUAGAAAGAGAGUACUGCAGACUCCGGGCGGUUGGUAUUUGUGCCAGCCGUUAGGCGCACACACACACAUACGCAGAGUCAAUGAGGACAAUGUGUCUGUGCUGAGAAGGGAAGAAAAAAUGCAUGCUUUCGCUGCCACCCUGAGGCGACAGAGAGUAUAGCUGCAGCUGGGGUCAUUGAGGGGAGACAGAGAGGAUGAUGAAAUACUGGAAGCUUUUCAGUAACGACUGAGCCGAGCCGGGCUGGGUGGGCGGGAUGAGCCGCUGUGAGCUCACUGCUGCUACUACGAGCUCACGGCUGCUAUUAUGCAAGAGAAUGAAGCGAAGGGAGGGAGAGAGAAUCGAUGCAAACAACAGGAGGUUCAGCGAGGAUAGUCGACUCAGUGGGAUGAUGUACAGAAUAUCAUCAGCGCUGGCGCCUUAAAGCCAGCCAAUGCACGUAGGGAUGAUUUUUCACAGCUCUAUUGUUUCCAAUAGUGGUGAUUACUUUCUUUAGAUGGCAUUCCAGUGAAGACUACUGCCCUGAACAGUAAUCAUCACAAAGACAAAUAGU